CGUCGCAAGACGAGCCUUGGUGAUUCUAGGCAAAAUAGCAGAUCGCAUAGCCUUGUGCUGGCGACAGUUCGAUCGAGUUUCUGCCCUAUCAACUUGAUUGUAGUGUAUUGGACUACAAUGGUUAUAACGGGUGACGGGGAAUUAGGGUUCGGUUCCGGAGAGGGAGCCUGAGAAAUGGCUACCACUUCCAAGGAAGGCAGCAGGCGCGCAAAUUACCCAAUGUCAAUUCGACGAGGUAGUGACAAUAAAUAACGAUCCUGAGCCUUUUAAGGCUUUGGAAUCGGAAUGAGAACAACGUAAAUAACUUAACGAGGAACCAUUGGAGGACAAGUCUGGUGCCAGCACCCGCGGUAAUUCCAGCUCCAAUAGCGUAUAUUAAAGUUGUUGCAGUUAAAAAGCUCGUAGUUGGAGGACAAGUCUGGUGCCAGCACCCGCGGUAAUUCCAGCUCCAAUAGCGUAUAUUAAAGUUGUUGCAGUUAAAAAGCUCGUAGUUGGAUUUGUAGCGUUUAGUCGGGCCGAGAGGAUGGUUGGACCUUUACGGUAUCCGGUUCUGCGCUCUACGUUCGGUUAUUGAAUUCUGGUCUUAACUGGCUGGUUUUCGGUUCCGGACCGUUUACCUUGAAUAAAUUAGAGUGUUCAAAGCAGGCUUUUAGCCUUGAAUAGUUUAGCAUGGGAUAAUGGAAUAUGAUCCUAGCUUAGUUCGUUGGUAACCUGAGCUAGGAUAAUGAUUAAUAGAGAUAGUCGGGGUUAUUCAUAUUCAAUUGUUAGAGGUGAAAUUCUUAGAUUCUUUGAAGAUGAACUGCAGCGAAAGCGUUUAACAAGGAUGCUCUCAUUAAUCAAGAACGAAAGUUAGGGGAUCGAAGACGAUCAGAUACCGUCGUAGUCUUAACUAUAAACGAUACGAAUCGAGGAUUGGAUGUUGUUAAUCGUACGACUCUUUCGGAACUUUAGGGGAAACCUUUGAAUCUUUGCGUUCUGGGGGGAGUAUGGUCGCAAGGCUGAAACUUAAAGGAAUUGACGGAAGGGCACACCAGGAGUGGAGCCUGCGGCUUAAUUUGACUCAACACGGGGAAACUUACUAGGUCCAAACAUGGUUAGGAUUGACAGAUUGAUAGUUCUUUCUUAAUUUCUAUGGGUGGUGGUGCAUGGCCGUUCUUAGUUGGUGGAGUGAUUUGUCUGGUUAAUUCCGAUAACGAACGAGAUCGCAUCCUACUAAAUAGUGGCGUUAACCGUCUACCGGGUGAAGGCUGUUGGCUCUGGAGGGCUGGGAAACUGGCUUCUUUGGACUGGUGGUUGGAUCCUUGAUGCGUUGGCGUCAUUUAUACUUCUUAGAGGGACUGUCGGUGAUUAACCGAAGGAAGUGCGGCAAUAACAGGUCUGUGAUGCCCUUAGAUGUCCUAGGCUGCACGCGCGCUACACUGUCUCGUACAAUGAGUUUUUUGCUGGUCCGAAGGUAUUGGCGAAUCUUGUGAAUGCUUGACGUGAUGGGGAUUGAUCAUUGCAAUUAUUGGUCAUGAACGAGGAAUUCCUUGUAGGUAUGCUUCAUCAAAGCAUGCCGACUACGUCCCUGCCCUUUGUACACACCGCCCGUCGCUCCUACCGAUUGAGUGAUCAGAUGAAAUCCGCGGAUUGGGGUUAGGUUCGCCUAGCUUCGAGAAGUUGAGUAAAUCUUAUUGCUUAGAGGAAGGAGAAGUCGUAACAAGGUUUCCGUAGG
rnacentral:rRNA from 1 species